rnacentral:lncRNA from 1 species
UCCAAGCCACAUCCACUUGCAGCAAGGCUGGAUCCUCAACUCACGGAGCAGGGCCAGGGAUUGAACCUGCAACCCCAUAAAUAUUUGCUUUGUUCUUUUUUUUUUUUUUUUUGUCUUUUUGCUAUUUCUUGGGCCGCUCCCGCGGCAUAUGGAGGUUCCCAGGCUAGGGGUCGAAUCGGAGCUGUAGCCACCAGCCUACGCCAGAUCCACAGCAACGCGAGAUCCGAGCCGCGUCUGCAACCUACACCACAGCUCGCGGCAACGCCGGAUCGUUAACCCACUGAGCAAGGGCAGGGACCGAACCCGCAACCUCAUGGUUCCUAGUCGGAUUCGUUAACCACUGCGCCACGAUGGGAACUCCUAUUUGCUGUGUUCUUAACCUGCUGAGCCACGACAGGACCUCUGGAGUAAUAUAUAUAUUUAGCUGUUAUCGAUGCCAAUGACACCUGCUUAACAACAUGAAGCACUCUGGUUUCCCUUUGGAAAACUACUCUUCCCAAGCUGUACUCAGUUCCAGUGGAAUCGUCCUAUAAGACGGCUUCUCCUCUCCAGGUCCAGAUCAAACAGCUUAUUCACCGUUAAGCAUCUUACAGUGACAACAGUGAUGGUAACUAAACCUCUAUUAGGAAGAUGCCAAUUUCUUCACUGGGAUUACAUCAUUUAUUUGUCAUAAUGCACUAUGAGGUAUUUAUAUAUGACUGUAGUAAGCUAAUCGAUGGGAAAUUCAGGAAGAUUUUUAAAAAUGUAUAAUUUACUUUAAAAUACUAAAUUCAAUAUGCUCA